GCGGUACAGGGAGAAGCUUGCUUCUCUGCUGACGAGCGGCGGACGGGUGAGUAAUGUAUGGGGAUCUGCCUGAUGGCGGGGGAUAACUACUGGAAACGGUCGCUAAUACCGCAUAAUGUCUUCGGACCAAAGCGGGGGACCUCCGGGCCUCGCGCCAUCAGAUGAACCCAUAUGGGAUUAGCUAGUAGGUGAGGUAACGGCUUACCUAGGCGACGAUCCCUAGCUGGUCUGAGAGGAUGAUCAGCCACACUAGGGACUGAGACACGGCCCAGACUCCUACGGGAGGCAGCAGUGGGGAAUAUUGCACAAUGGGCGCAAGCCUGAUGCAGCCAUGCCGCGUGUAUGAAGAAGGCCUUCGGGUUGUAAAGUACUUUCAGUCGGGAGGAAGGUGUCAAGGUUAAUAACCUUGGCAAUUGACGUUACCGACAGAAGAAGCACCGGCUAACUCCGUGCCAGCAGCCGCGGGUAAUACGGAGGGUGCAAGCGUUAAUCGGGAAUUACUGGGGCGUAAAGCGCACGCAGGCGGUUGAUUGAGUCAGAUGUGAAAUCCCCGGGCUUAACCCGGGAAAUUGCAUCUGAUACUGGUCAGCUAGAGUCUUGUAGAGGGGGGUAGAAUUCCGUGUGUAGCGGGUGAAAUGCGUAGAGAUGUGGGAGGAAUACCGGGUGGCGAAAGGCGGCCCCCUGGAACAAGAACUGACGC
rnacentral:rRNA from 1 species